ensembl:piRNA 21ur-14493 ncRNA
UUAUGUAUUUUUGAACGUCUU